AGUGAACGCUGGCGGCAGGCCUAAUACAUGCAAGUCGAACGGCAGCACAGCAGAGCUUGCUCUGUGGGUGGCGAGUGGCGGACGGGUGAGGAAUACAUGGGAAUCUGCCCAGUCGUGGGGGAUAACGUAUGGAAACGUACGCUAAUACCGCAUGCGCCCUAAGGGGGAAAGCCGGGGACCGCAAGGCCUGGCGCGAUUGGAUGAGCCCAUGUUCGAUUAGCUAGUUGGCGGGGUAAAGGCCCACCAAGGCGACGAUCGAUAGCUGGUCUGAGAGGAUGAUCAGCCACACUGGAACUGAGACACGGUCCAGACUCCUACGGGAGGCAGCAGUAGGGAAUAUUGGACAAUGGGCGCAAGCCUGAUCCAGCCAUGCCGCGUGAGUGAAGAAGGCCCUCGGGUUGUAAAGCUCUUUUGUUGGGGAAGAAAAGCAUCUGGUUAAUACCCGGGUGUUCUGACGGUACCCAAAGAAUAAGCACCGGCUAACUUCGUGCCAG
rnacentral:rRNA from 1 species